rnacentral:rRNA from 1 species
UACGAAGGGUGCAAGCGUUAAUCGGAAUUACUGGGCGUAAAGGGUGCGUAGGCGGUUCGUUAAGUCUGUCGUGAAAUCCCCGGGCUCAACCUGGGAAUGGCGAUGGAUACUGGCGAGCUAGAGUGUGUCAGAGGAUGGUGGAAUUCCCGGUGUAGCGGUGAAAUGCGUAGAGAUCGGGAGGAACACCGGUGGCGAAGGCGGCCCACUGGGCAGUCACUGACGCUGAGGCGCGAAAGCUCGGGGAGCGAACGGG